ACGCUCGACACCUACAGGAGGCAGCAGUGGGGAAUAUUGCACAAUGGGGGAAACCCUGAUGCAGCGACGCCGCGUGAGCGAAGAAGUAUUUCGGUAUGUAAAGCUCUAUCAGCAGGGAAGAAACUGACGGUACCUGACUAAGAAGCACCGGCUAAAUACGUGCCAGCAGCCGCGGUAAUCUGAGCGGGCUGGCAAGGC
rnacentral:rRNA from 1 species